CCGGCAAACGGGUGCGGAACACGUACGCAACUUUCCCAAAACUGGUGAAUAGCCCUCCGAAAGGAGGAUUAAUACACCGUAAGAUAAUGAAGCGGCAUCGCUUUAUUAUUAUAGGCUUCGGCCGGUUUUGGAUGGGCGUGCGCCUGAUUAGGUAGUUGGCGGGGUAACGGCCCACCAAGCCUACGAUCAGUAACUGGUGUGAGAGCACGACCAGUCACACGGGCACUGAGACACGGGCCCG
rnacentral:rRNA from 1 species